AUACAUACGUUUAUGGGGUUCGAAGAGGAUCACUGAAAAGGGGUGGAGGAGUUUAAAUAAAUCGAAUCCUUUUGCUACGAGUUAUCACAUUGAAUUGUAUUCAUGUAAAAAAACAAGGAGAAAGAUAAUAGAUGUAGAAGAGGGAGAGGGAGGGGUGGAGGGGUGAUUGGAAAAUCGGAAAAUUUGUUUGUUCAUCGUUCGUUCGUUCGUUCGUUCGUUCGUUCGUACGAUAAUUUCUACGAAAUAUUUGUUUUAUUU